rnacentral:rRNA from 1 species
GACAGAGGUGGCAAGCGUUGUUCGGAUUCAUUGGGUGUAAAGGGCGUGUAGGCGGCCAACUAAGUCCGACGUGAAAUCCCCAGGCUUAACCUGGGAACUGCGUCGGAUACUGGAUGGCUUGAAUCCGGGAGAGGGAUGCAGAAUUCCAGGUGUAGCGGUGAAAUGCGUAGAUAUCUGGAGGAAUACCGGUGGCGAAGGCGGCAUCCUGGACCGGCAUUGACGCUGAAGCGCGAAAGCUAGGGGAGCAAACGGG